UGUACCACUCCGCUGGGGGCGGGGGAGGGAGGACGCCGAGGCCUCCAAGGCCCAAUCCAGCUCAGCGGCUGGAAGGCUGGGGAUGAGCACAUAGCCGCUCGCCGCGGCUGGGCAGAGAAGCUAGACCGGAGGAGCGUGGCUAGGGCUUCUGCCCUCCCGCCUUGGGGAUAGGGGCGCCAGAGUGACCCACCAGAGCAGGAUGGCACAUUGACGCUGCAUUUCACCUAGAGCCCUCAGCAGCUCCAUGUUCGGCCUCACCCCGCCACCAGAAUCCAACCAGGUCUGAAAUAGGGAGAAGAGAAGGCAUGCAGGCCUCAGAGAGAGCUCCCACUCAGCAGCCAGAUUGCUCCCCAUUCCAAACACCACCCCCUUUUACUUGUUGAACAAGGGUUCUUAGCCUGGGAUCAAAGGGGAGAUCUCAGGGGGUCUGUGAAUGAGGAUGGGGGGAAAUACAUCUUUAUUUUCACUGAUUUCCAACUGAAAUUCAGCAUUUCCUUUAAUAUUUCAAAGCAAGAUUCUGAGAAGGGGCUUGCAGACUUCACCAGUCUGCCAAAAGGGUCCAUGACCCAAAAAUGGUUAAGGACUCCUGCCAUGGAGGCUAAAGAGAGCUAGAAGACCUUUUCCCCAAGACUCUUGGCCCUUCAGGGAGGUUCAGAAGGGAAUCCAGGGGAAAGGGAAGAGGCUUGCUUUAGUCUACUCUCCUGGCUCACUGGCACCCUUUGACCCCAGGUCCUUCCUGUCACCAUUGCUCCAUGGUCUUCCCACCCUCCUGGGUGAGCCCCCAACUCCAAGGCCAAAACUGUGGUAAAGAGGGGUGAGCAUGGGGACUCGGGCCCCUGGCUUUUUAAUAGCUUUCUCUGUUUUCUCCCUCUCCAUACUGCUAGGAUUUUCUACCAACUCCAGCCCUUUCCCACCACCCCAGGGCUUCCCCCCAGAUAGGAUGCCCAGAGGCAGCUAGGUGGCUCAGUGGAUUGAGAGUGAGUUCUAGAGAUGGGAGGACCUGGAUUCAAAUUGCUGUGUGAUCCUGGGCAAAUCACUUAACACCCCUUACCACUUUUCUGCUUGGACUCAAUACAUAGUAUUGAUUCUAAGAUGGAAGGAAGGUAAGGGUUUAAAGAAAAGAAAUGAUGCCCCUAGUCCCAGACUCCAUGCAUGGCCUUCUCUGCCUUCUGUUGGAUCUACUCCAUCCCCCCAAGAUCUACUCCCUCUCAGCUUCCCUCCCACUUUCUUCCCCCUCCCUCCAAGAGCUAAGCAGUCCUAAGGGGGUGUGAGGGUUGCAAAGAAAGACAGAAUGAAGCAGAGGCAGACACUGCCAGUCAGAGAAAGAGGCAGCCGCAGAGAGACAGACUGACAUCCAGAAAAGGAGGCAGGUAGCGAUGGGCAGAUAGCCGAGUCACCUAGUCAGGCACAGAGCUAGGCUGACAGAGACCCAGAUAGGGCCUGAGACGGGCAAGGAAUGACAGAUGCAGAGCCAGGCUCCCAGACAGGAAGGGACAGGAAGACGCAGUGGGGCUGCAGCUCUGGCUAAUGCCAUGUGCUGAGACUGAAAUGGCAUCCGUUAGGGGUCCCAAAUCCUCCCCCCUCUGCUCCCCCCGUCUGCCCCCCUAAGCCCAGUCCCUCCAAAGGACCUUCUUACCUGGCAGGGAUUCUCAGUCCCCCAACACUGUAGCCUCCUCCUGAUGGAUCCAGGGCUCUCUGGGAGCUGGGUGGCACUCGAGAGGCUGUUUGCUCUGGGCGACACAGCCCCUUCCCCUCCAGAUGGAGUGUCCUCCAUCUGUCCAGGGCUCCCAGUGUCCUCCGGGUCCAUCUCUUCAGCCUCCAAAGCCACCAGGGCAUCGCCCCACAUUGGAGCUGUGCUCCCUGGCACACCCCCUGGGCUCGGGCCCCAGCCGGGCCAGGUGGGCAAUGCCUGCGGUUCCAUUGCUCCUUGCUCCCCUUUCUCCCUUGCUGGGGAAGGGGGCUCAGAUCCUCUGUGGCACUGCAGGACCCCAGGGCCAAGGACCAGGGGCAUCACCCCACCAGAUGAGGGCACAGCGUAAGGUCAUAUUGGGCCAGGACCACUUCUCCUCUGCUCCGUCUUCCGAUUCCAGCACAGUCCAAGGUCGGCAGCGAGAGAGCUUUCCUGCCUACGAAGACAAGCGGAGCCGCUGGAAUAGAAGCUGGGGCUUGUGUGUGAGUGUGCGCCAGUCACGGUGUGUGUGAGCAGGAGAGGGUGCCCCUGUGGGGGCAAUGCCAGGAGGCCAGAGACAGCUUAGCCGGAUGAAGGCAUGGGGCUCGGUGGCAGUCUAGGUAGGGGAUGCGUGUGUGGGAGGGGGCGUCUGUGUCUGGCUGCUGUGGACUAGUAGGUGAGUUCUGUGUGUGUUCCAGUGAGUGUCCGUGGCUAUCUAGUGCCCCUGUGGGCUCUCGUGUCCCCGUCCAUGCAUGUGGUUCAGGAUCUUUGGGUCUAGCUGGCCAUCCAUCUGAAUAGGCUUCAAUGCCUUUCCACAGCCCAGACCAGGCUCUGUUUGGGGCUGGGGGUGGGGGUGUCGCUGGUUGCCUGCCCGGCCCCCUUCUCUCUCCCUGUCUGUCUCUGCUCUGCUCUGUGGCUCUUCUGGGUCCUAAGGAGGCCUGGGCCGAUGUGCUGCCUGCCUCAUAGUCUCUCCCUUAGAAGUCAAUGGCUCAGCUCUAGGAAAUCCUGGGUUCCCCAGCAGCUCCCUAUGCCCCAAGGUCCUUGGUAUGGGAGAGGGUCCAAGCAUUAGGGUGUGCAUAGAGAUAAGGGGAUAAAGAAUGCUCCCCUCCCCCUCCCUUCUUCCCUCCUCACCAGCCAGCCAAUGGGAAGCCAGCUGCCUGUUUCCAUGGUGAUGGCACUGCAAUGGUGGGCAGGAUGGAUAGGCAGGGUCGGGGGCUGGGGGACUGGGCAGUCCACUCCUCCUGGGAUCCCCUGCCUAGGACACAAACAGCACACAUUCACACAGCUGCUUUCCAAAGCAUGCUUAGGGAAAGGGAUGGGAUGGGAUGGGAUGAUGAAGGAAUUGGGAAUGCAAGCACACAUCUAUCUCUUCCCUCCUCCCUCCUAGCUGAGAGCUCUCAGAGAUAGCAGUAAGAGGAAUGGAGAGACAAAAAGAGAAACAGAGGAGACUAGAGAGAAUGAGGGAGGAAGGAGAGGGAGAGAGAGAGAAAGAGGAAGAGAGGGGGUGAGAGAGAGAGAGAGAGAGAGAGAGAGAGAGAUCAGGAACAAGAGAAAGAAAAUGGGAAGACAAAGAGUAUGAGAGACUAACAGAAAAAUAAAGAGAAAUAGAAAAAUAGGAGAAAUAGAAAUCCCGGAAUCCUUCACAGCUCCCUCUCUCUAUGCCUGUCUCUAGAUCCUACACAUUUCUCAGAGAGAGCCCACAUCCUUCAGUUCUUGCCUCUUUCCCCUCUGACUUCCAGGAAAUCUCCCCUCCUGUCUGCUCUCCCUCCUUCUUCCUUUAUGUAGUUAGAAGUCCCUGUGGGUCAGGGAUCUGGAGAUACAUUUCUACCCCUACAUGGAAUGAAGAGAAUGUCAUUUGUAGAGGUCUGGUGGAGAGUGGGCGCAUGCCUGAACUGGAUUAUAGGGUUUGAAUCAGCCUAGGGACUCCUUGGGGUCUAGAAUUGCAUGGACUGGAACGGGGCCGCUCUGCUCCCUAUGUAUCCCCCUCCCCUCUCUCCAGGGCUGGCCUCCCCUAAACACGUGCGCCCUCAAGUGGCAUCCUGGGGAACAGACAACAACCAACUGAUGGGGGCUUUCUCAGAAUGGGUGAUUCUGCCAAACUGAUGUUAGUGUCACUAAGCCCUCUUUACAAGCACUCCCCGAGCCGGUACCUUGACCAAGGAACAAAGAAGGCAAGCUCGCAGAUGCCGCAAAUCCUUGGGAACAGUUUCUAAAGCCAUCGCCGCCGCCGCCGCCUGGAACCAAAAAAAGCCCUCACCAACCAAGGCCUCAAAAACUUCUAAGUGUAGUAGUCCCCAUACUGUGCCGGAAGUAUUCUUCUGACCCACUCCGAAGACCAACAACUUCCGGCGAGGGCGUGCUUCCGGACCGGAAUUUCCGCAUUCUGCGUUAAGAAGCCAUUCCUUCCGGCCCCCUCAGAUAGCCGCGAGAUGGUCUCUUCCCGCCGAGAGGGCGGGGCCAGGUUAACACCUGGCUGGGGGCCCGAACCCAGCCUCCCAGGAUCGUACGCGCGGGGGCGAGUUGGGUUGAAGAGGCUGUCGACUGAAAUCUCGUGGGGCCAGAGCGCGCGGAAGACGCUACAGCUUCGUCUUCCUCAGGAAACGGAACCCGUCCCGCAGGCCCCGCCCCUCGCCGCCUGGGCUGGUACGAGAGGCCUAGAUGGGUUCCGACCUCCAAAUUGCGCCACACACACAAUGAUCUCGAAUUUUUGAAUUCAGAUUUUAAAGCUUUUCUGGGAUUUGGGUCAACAUUGGAAACUUUUUAAAAACCGACGCUUCGAUACUUGCGGCGUGAGCUCCUAGCCGGACAUGUUACCUCUCAGAGCCCGAGAUCGAUAAUUGCGCCACCUCCUGGCAGGGCCGUCGGGAGGAAACAACUCCUGCAUCCAUGGGAGCAGUUUAUGAUUGCUGAAGAUUUCAACCCUCUAGGACCCUGCCCAGCAUUACCCUUAUAUACAGAAUGGAAAAACAAGCGUUAUUCCUCCUUUCCUAUUGGACAACUUGAACUGACGUCCCUUUCACGUUUUAUCCAAACCCGCCCUCUCCUCGGCUUCCCGGCCCUUAGUUCUGGGGGCACUACCACCUUUGCAGUCAUACAGGCAGACGCCUCCUCGACAUCGUUCCUAGGCCUACCUAACGCCCCUUCCCCUCCAACCUGGCUAUAUGGCCUAUUGCAGUGGCCUGCCGGUCGUUUCUGCCUCGAGCCCUCUUGCAUCUCCCCAGUCUGUUUUCCAAUCAUUGGCCAAAAAAACCCCAUCUCCAUCCCACCUGAAUCAAAUAUAUGAACCCUCUACAUUGGCGCUCCUUCCACAUUCGCAUUUACUCUUCCUUCCAGUCCUCUUAUUCCUGGCACACGACACCCCCUCUCUUUAGAGUUUCACUGACUCUCCUACGCUAAAAUCUCACCUUUAGCAAGAACCUUUUUCUGGUCCUCUAGCGCCUAAUGCCUUCCCUCCUCUCCCUUACCCAGAGUGUGAGUGUGUGUGUGUGUGUAUCCAAUGUGUACAUGGUUUUCUUCAUAUUGUUCCUAUGCUAGAAUGUGCCCUGGAGUUUUUGCCUUUCUUUGUAGCCCCAGUACGUGGACUAUUAAUGUUGAUUGACUCCUAUCUGGCCAAGUACCAUCUUGCUGUGAAAUAGCAGAGAAAAAAAGUCAAAAUUGGUUUAUUCAAUCUGUGGCUUUUCCAAGAUGUAAAAAGUUUAUGUACUAAAGCUGCACAUAAUUUUUUUUUAAAACAACCUUUACCAUCUGUCUUAGAAUCCUUGCCCAGGGUCACACAACUAAGAAAUGUCAAAUUUGAACCCAAGAUCUCCUAUCUCUGGGCCCCCUAAAUUAGAACAUUUGUAAGAAUUCUUAGUUUUAUAACUUAUUUUAAAAAUUCCUUACUUCCAACUGUCUCACAUUUGUCUAAAGAACUCAAGAUGUAAAGCCCCUCCCCUCAUCCAUUUUACAGUUGAGAGCCACCUAUCUAAAUCCUGACUCCGAAUCUAGGGAUAUUCCAUGCCUCUGAGGGUGAGGGGAUAACAGCUCCUGAAUUCAAUUCUACUGCCUCAUCACUCUUUCCUAGCCUCCUGGGUAUCAGAAAUAAUUUCUAUUGAUGACCUUGACAGGUGAUAUUACAGAACAAAAACACAAACCCAGAUUUGUUAUGUGGAUAAAUAUAUUAGUAAAUAAAUACAUUUCUCAACAUAG